GCCUAAUACAUGCAAGUCGAGCGAAUUGAUGGGAGCUUGCUCCCUGAUAUUAGCGGCGGACGGGUGAGUAACACGUGGGUAACCUGCCUGUAAGAUUGGGAUAACUCCGGGAAACCGGAGCUAAUACCGGAUAACAUGUUGAACCGCAUGGUUCAACAUUGAAAGAUGGCUUUUGCUAUCACUUACAGAUGGACCCGCGGCGCAUUAGCUAGUUGGUGAGGUAACGGCUCACCAAGGCGACGAUGCGUAGCCGACCUGAGAGGGUGAUCGGCCACACUGGGACUGAGACACGGCCCGAACUCCUACGGGAGGCAGCAGUGGGGAAUAUUGGACAAUGGGGGCAACCCUGAUCCAGCCAUGCCGCGUGUGUGAAGAAGGCUUUCGGGUUGUAAAGCACUUUCAGUGAGGAGGAAAAGUUAGUCAUUAAUACUGGCUAGCCUUGACGUUACUCACAGAAGAAGCACCGGCUAACUCCGUGCCAGCAGCCGCGGUAAUACGGAGGGUGCAAGCGUUAAUCGGAAUUACUGGGCGUAAAGCGCGCGUAGGUGGUUUGAUAAGCGAGAUGUGAAAGCCCCGGGCUUAACCUGGGAACGGCAUUUCGAACUGUCAGGCUAAGUAUGGUAGAGGGUAGUGGAAUUUCCUGUGUAGCGGUGAAAUGC
rnacentral:rRNA from 1 species